rnacentral:rRNA from 1 species
UACGUAGGGCGCAAGCGUUGUCCGGAAUUAUUGGGCGUAAGGAGCUCGUAGGCGGUUUGUCACGUCGGGUGUGAAAGCCCGGGGCUUAACCCCGGGUCUGCAUUCGAUACGGGCAGACUGGAGUGUGGUAGGGGAGAUCGGAAUUCCUGGUGUAGCGGUGAAAUGCGCAGAUAUCAGGAGGAACACCGGUGGCGAAGGCGGAUCUCUGGGCCAUUACUGACGCUGAGGAGCGAAAGCGUGGGGAGCGAACAGG